rnacentral:lncRNA from 1 species
GGACAGUCUGGUGGCAAGGCUGGAGACAGCUAACAAAUUCUCUUCAGGCUCCAAGCGUGAGUCUGAGCCUGGAGAUGGGGCCCAGUACUCUCAGCGUUCCUAACGGAUUCCCUGGGAAUUCUGAUAGCCAAGUUUGGAAAGCGUGGAAGUCAGAAUGUGAUGCAAUCGAGCAGGCUUCCACUUUGCUCGUUACAGUCGCAUUCCACACAUGCUUUCUGGUGACAACACCCACAUCACCCUAGGAACAUGGGUGUUCCUAACUUGUCAGAUCCUCAUGCACCCGGGGCCCUGGGAGGACGUUCCUGUCACUGGCUGCUUCUACGCUGAUUUCGUCCUCAGAGUAGCAGUCCCGAGGUUGAGUGUGACCCCAGAUCACCCCUCCCGUGGAGGUGCUUCUGCAGGGGAGGACCCGCAUGCUUGCUUGUGUUUACGCCUGGGGAAGCCCCUCUUGGCAAGAUGCUUGGAAGAGGCUCCAGAAGGCAGAGCUCAGAGGACGACUUGGUGUUUCAGAAGGAUUCACUUCAUGCCCUGUUGUCGUUGUCCUCGGUUUACCGAUGAAGAAUCAGGCCUGCAGAGCAAAACACAGGAGUCAGAGAUGAAGCCUCCAGCCACAGGGAAGUUUGACCCACCUCGUGCUCGAAAACCCGUUUGGGCGACACAAGCAAAUAAAGUGUCGGCGUUUGCAUGAGCAGCCUCCCAGCACAGAAGAGGAUGCACGGGGAUCUGACGCUAAGAGACAAGCUCUCCCACACGCGCACAUCUGGAAUAUUUUUACAUAUCAUUGAGCAACAAGUAUUCUUCCACAAAGUUCUUUUAGUUUUCCUGCUUGAAAACCUGCGGCUCCCGGGAAUAGCCAUGCUUCACAAGAGGAGGAGGCUGAGGCCAUAUUCCAUGGUCCCUGUUGAACCGCAGUCCUUUACAGGUGUUACCUGGACACGUGGAAGAUGGAGACCACAGAGCUCGUGAAGGAAGAGGCCAGAGUUGGGUUCUGGGAAGUCAUUUUUGCCUCCAGGAUGAG